rnacentral:rRNA from 1 species
GGGCGCAGCAGGCGCGAAACCUUUACAAUGCGGGCAACCGUGAUAAGGGAACCUCGAGUGCCUGUAAACGCAGGCUGUUCAGGUGUUUAAAACGCACCUGGAGAAAGGGCCGGGCAAGACCGGUGCCAGCCGCCGCGGUAAUACCGGCGGCUCGAGUGGUGGCCGCUUUUAUUGGGCUUAAAGCGUUCGUAGCUGGGUUGUUAAGUCUCUUGGGAAAUCUGGCGGCUUAACCGUCAGG